AACGAACGCUGGCGGCAUACCUAACACAUGCAAGUCGAACGAGACCUUCGGGUCUAGUGGCGCACGGGUGCGUAACGCGUGGGAACCUGCCUUUAGGUUCGGAAUAACUCAGAGAAAUUUGAGCUAAUACCGGAUGAUGUCUUCGGACCAAAGAUUUAUCGCCUUUAGAUGGGCCCGCGUUGGAUUAGCUAGUUGGUGGGGUAAAGGCCUACCAAGGCGACGAUCCAUAGCUGGUCUGAGAGGAUGAUCAGCCACACUGGGACUGAGACACGGCCCAGACUCCUACGGGAGGCAGCAGUGGGGAAUAUUGGACAAUGGGCGAAAGCCUGAUCCAGCAAUGCCGCGUGAGUGAUGAAGGCCUUAGGGUUGUAAAGCUCUUUUACCCGAGAUGAUAAUGACAGUAUCGGGAGAAUAAGCUCCGGCUAACUCCGUG
rnacentral:rRNA from 1 species